rnacentral:lncRNA from 1 species
GGGAGCGCCCGGAUAGCUCAGUCGGUAGAGCAUCAGACUUUUAAUCUGAGGGUCCAGGGUUCAAGUCCCUGUUCGGGCGUUUGUAGUUUUCGUUACUUUAACCUGCUAAAUUAUCCCAUCAAGUCCCAAGAGCGGACAUCGUAAACCCUUACAUUUCAAGUUGAAUUCAAAUCAUUUUUCACUGGGUUCAGAAUAUGCUAGAUAGACGUGUUUUCAGGGAGGAAAAAAAAUGACUGAAAAGUCAUUUAA